UUGUAAAUAUGAUUUUUUUUUUGCACUGCAGUUAUCUUCAGCGAUAAGCAGAGUAUGGCAUCCCGAGGUGAUGUUACCCCAUGCAACCUUUCAGUCAAGGCCAUUCCAGCUCAGUUGGGCUGCAUUAAAUCUCUGCAUGCAGCAAAAUUCGGUUUUUUUGUUAAGGGGGAAAGCCAUGUGCCAGGCAGGAAGCCGGGCCUGACGAAUGCUCCAGCACAUCCGCCAUCAGAUCCACGUUCUGCCGCAGGAGAAGCCGCAAGGGGAGAUUCUCCGUGUGGGUGUGGAAUUCCCGCGGCCUGAGGGUUGGUCCUGCCAACCCGGCUGCACCGCACAGCACGACUGCAGCUCCUCAAAAACUUAUUUAUCACAGAAGAGCUAUGUGGGAUCCAUAAUCCAGGAACAUUAUUGGUAAUUUUAUUGGGAAGAUGAGACUGCCAAGUGUCAAAACCUCACAGUCCCUGAAGCCGUGUCACAACAUGAAACAGGGAGUGUGUUGUUAUUUUUUAUGAUGCUUACUACUUGGCCCUUUCCUAGUUGAUAGAGCACCUUUUCCUGAGCAAGUUGUAAUCAUACACCAUCACUGUGGGUGGGAUACCAAUGAUAUCAAAUUAUAUCACUGAUUUAUCAAACAUAUCUGCAAUCUUUGUGUUGUCUCUUAUUGAGGGGCCAGUUAGUCAGGCUUCACAGCGUCAAUGAGUGGUUUCACACUGGACCUGUGCAGGCACCUCAGCCAUGAAUGAAUGCUGGCCUCUGUGUCUUCCCAGUCUCAUCACAUUAGAAACACUAAUCAGCAGCUUUCUGACAGCCCCCACACCUCCAGAUAAACCACAUUUCUGUUUUGUAGAAUCAAGAAGUCUCAAGUAACCUUUCAAGCAAAGAUUAAACUGGAGACUACUAUUCUCGUGCUCAGGAGCUUGAUAUCACUAUAACGUAUCAUAAGCCUUCAAUUCAACAUUCAUUGCAUAGUUCAGUAUUCAGACAGAAGAACUCAGUGUUGGGGAAAAGAUCAUGGAGCUUGAGAAACUGAUUCCAUUGAACUCUUGGUCUUAGUGAAUAAGAUGUUGCAGGGAAAUAAAUACCUAAUAUCAAUCCAAACUUCCUCAUCCAAUACAACUUUUGCUGUUGAAACUGAAACACUUUCUGCAUUAUUACGACUGUUCUUCUUUACAUCAUUAAAUAAAUACAAAACUAUA